GAAGACUAUCACUAUCUCCUUCUUCCCAAACAUCAAGUGUACAUAAAAAGUCAUGAAAGUAAUGAGGAAUCAUUAAAAAAAUAUAUAUCCUGUCACCGUUUUUCCAAUAGACAGCUCAGGUUGUCCUGGAUUAUUUCAGGAGAGAUUAAGACAUUUAAAAGUGGAAAUUUGAUUUCCUGGCUUCUAGAGCUCUGAGAAGCAAUGAUUUUCUGGAGAAGAAAAAGAAAAUGCCAAGAAAAAGAGCUCUGAGCGCUUAAAUGCUACAACAACACGCUUUGGAAGUGGGAGGGAGCAGCCAGAGCCAUGCGUGUGCCAUUUGUUCUUCCUGCACGUGCCGAGCUGGAGGCUCGUGGUUGCUGUGCCAUUUCUCAGUUCCUGAGGGUUUUGUGCCUGCUGCCAGCUGUGCCCAGGGCUCCUGCUGCGUGCUGGAGCGAGUCCUUCGUCAGGCAUCGAGGGGAAGGACUUGGGAAGUUUCCAUAUCUGGGCCUGGGCCCCGAUGUCUGGAGUGCUGGAUUCACCAUACACCAGCAGCACAACGAUCAGCCGCUUCAUUCCAAGCACCUGCCUGCCUGCAAAACGUCCUUGCUCUGCGCUGAUGGCAGCCUUUGUGAUAGUUUCUGGGAAGCUGAUGCUCGCACGUGUGCCAGGGACUGGCUGGUGAGUGCAGACAGGAUUCCCUUCUGGACCAAGCCACCGACGAGAUGGGUUUUUUGCAGCUCCAGCUGCACAGGUACAAUGUAA
rnacentral:lncRNA from 1 species